CCUACGGGAGGCAGCAGUGAGGAAUAUUGGUCAAUGGACGAGAGUCUGAACCAGCCAAGCAGCGUGAAGGAUGACUGCCCUAUGGGUUGUAAACUUCUUUUAUAUGGGAAUAAAACGUUCCACGUGUGGGAUUUUGUAUGUACCAUAUGAAUAAGGAUCGGCUAACUCCGUGCCAGCAGCCGCGGUAAUACGGAGGAUGCGAGCGUUAUCCGGAUUUAUUGGGUUUAAAGGGUGCGUAGGCGGAAGGUUAAGUCAGCGGUCAAAUGUCGGUGCUCAACACCGGCCUGCCGUUGAAACUGGUCUUC
rnacentral:rRNA from 1 species